UUCAUGAUCAGUUCCCCCCCAGCAGAGUGUGUCACGUGAAGGUGUGAUCACGUGCUGCUUUGCGGAGGACCCCGCGCGAGUAGCUGAACGGACCGAAAAUGAACGUUUGACUUCCUGAGAAAUUCGGAAUUUACAUCGUCGUAAGGGUGUCAUUCUGUGCGCGUUUUGUAUUUUCCGAAGGAGAAAUCAAUAUUCAGCACCGCGGACAGCGAAUAACUCCCCACCGCCGAUCGGAAAUUACCUGCGCUUCCGCAGGCCGCCGCUAGAUGACAGCAAAACGCACCCAGAAUAAAACCAGAGUCGGAGGAGUGUGGCGCUGCCUUCAUUGCCAACGUUUCUAGCAGAGCAAUUUUCUCCGAUGUUCCUAAAUUUGGCGAUGGUUUCAGAGUGAACAUUUCCUCUGUUUCUUCACCCUGACAUCAUUUGAUGGUAAAGAGCAGCCAGAAUUGGAACUGGAGACCAGAUUAGUUUAACCAGUGUUUACUGCUGGUGUCCAGUGUUUCUGAGUUUGAUGAAAAACAACAUAAACCCUGCAGAAAUUGAUUAAAAAUAAUAGAAAUUUGAA